UACGUAGGUGGCAAGCGUUGUCCGGAUUUAUUGGGCUUAAAGGGUGCGUAGGUGGCCCUGUAAGUCAGUGGUGAAAUAUCUCAGCUUAACUGAGAGGGUGCCAUUGAUACUGCAGGGCUUGAGUACAGAUGAGGUAGGCGGAAUUGACGGUGUAGCGGUGAAAUGCAUAGAUAUCGUCAAGAACACCGAUAGCGAAGGCAGCUUACCGAGCUGUAACUGACACUGAGGCACGAAAGUGUGGGGAUCAAACAGG
rnacentral:rRNA from 1 species